rnacentral:lncRNA from 1 species
AAAAUUAGUUGAUGUAUUACAGUUGUCGUAGAAUUGCCGGUACUAAAAAGAUGCCGAUAACCAGAGGGGCACUGGAAACCAAUCGAUGUCGCUCAUCAGAGGUGUUCUGGACCCCUUAUGUCAACAUAGUAAUCAGCUGUUCUCGACAAGACGACACUUGCUGCUUCUACCAGAUGACGCCAGUGGCGGAAGAAGGGACCCGAUGCCUGGAGUAACUUUGCAGUAUAAAAUUUUGCACUGUUCGAUUGGUCAGGAUAGAGUGGUUUUAGUGGAAUUCAGCCCUUGAUGGACAUAUCGUCUGUAUUUGCCCUGUCCUAGUGAUGGUAGAGAGCUCUUCCACACCUCGUGCACAUAUCAGAAUCCGCGAGGUAGGCGACGAAUUUAUUCAGGUUUAAAACGACAGGAAGACAAUGUUUUACAUUGUUGAAAGACAAAGAAAAAGAAUCGAUUCCAGAACGUGUUUGUUGUUUUCGACAAUUGGGGGGAGAGUCCGGUGCAUGCCAGAUACUAUCUACUGAUUUCAAACACUCUAGCGAGAAAUAUAUGCAGAAGAAAGAACCAAGUAUGAUAAAUCUACGACAGACCUGGCACAAGCAUAUAGCAUGACACCACUACAGCCGCCAUGACAAAAGCAUAGUUAAACAAAUUAGAUAUAAGCUAACAUGUAUAUAAUUAUAACCCAACGUACAAAGUAUAUUGGGCUAUGUAGGAGUCACGCAUGUCCAGUUCAUCCAUCCGUCCGUUCAUUUGUCCAACAUGGCCGCUGGGAUGAGUUUCAUAAAACUGACAUAAAUUAUAAACCACAUCAAGACGAUGCACAGAGCGCUCAACCUAGGUCACAGGGCCAAAGAUCAAGGUUACUCGUGAAGGUGAAAGGUCAAAUAGCUUAGCUUCAUGUCCGCUCUAUAUUGUCUAAACGGCUUUGAAAAUAUUUAGCUCGACUGUUUGAAGAAUAAGGAGGAUUACUGUACUUGCCUUGGCGUCUGUGUUACUGUCACCGUUGCAACGAAAGUUAAAAUUUUAGGACAAGCUUCUCAGUGUCACUAUAUCCUCUUACUACUGCCCUUAUUAACAUCAAACUUCACAUAAGUGUUGGUCUUGGUAAGGGAAAGACAUCUACAUGUAUUAGUUUAGGAACAAGUAUCCUAAAUGUCGAAGUCACUGGCUUAAAUAUUGUGAUAGUGCUUGUUAAAGUUUCAUGAUAAGCUUCUCAAUUUCACAAUAUAACCUCACUUAAGGAUUGAUCUUAGAAUGUGGCAGAAAUCUUUUUGUUUAGGGUCAGAUUGCUCAAAGGUCAAGGUUACUGGGGUCAGAUUUUGUAAAACCCAACUCAUUCAUUCAUUCAUUUGUAACAGUGUUGGUUAAAGUCUUGUGGCACAUUUCUCAAUUUGAAAUAUCUCAUAACGUUUCUUAGAACUGGUAUCCCUCAUGUCCUAUCCUUUUUAGCUAUACCCACACUUCAUGUACGUUCGUCCCGACACGCACCCAAAAAUGCGUUCCAUACAAAAACUUAUAUUUCAUGUAUCCAUCAACUCCCCACUCCGCCGUCUCCACCUACCUCUUCCACCCCAUUUCACCGAACCUUUAUCCUCGCCCCUAACCUCCACCCCCUCCAUAAUAAGGAUAAAAAACUCCUUUUCGAUCUCCCACACUUGCUUAUAAUAAUAACAAUAUCUUUAAACAUUUUCCUUAGUCGAGCAGACACAAUAAACUCAGAUCACUAGCUCCAAGGUCAAGGUCACACCUAAAAAUCAAAAGUCAUGAUGACAACAUUUUACUUUCCCUUUAUCAAAGUGAGGUCUGGGGGUAUUAAUCGACUUCAGUGAUAGCCUUAGUUGAUCAGGUGUUAGUGGCAUAAAUUUGUAACAUUUGCUUUAUUAGGGGGUGGGGGUAUAGGAAUGGUCUCCAUCCGUCCGUCUGCCCGUCCGUAACAUUUUCGUGUCCGGUCCAUAUCUCCUAAACACCU